AGCUUGGUGCUUGCACCGAGCGGAUGAGUUGCGAACGGGUGAGUAACGCGUAGGUAACCUGCCUCUUAGCGGGGGAUAACUAUUGGAAACGAUAGCUAAUACCGCAUAAAAGUCGAUAUCGCAUGAUGUUGAUUUGAAAGGUGCAAUUGCAUCACUAAGAGAUGGACCUGCGUUGUAUUAGCUAGUUGGUGAGGUAACGGCUCACCAAGGCGACGAUACAUAGCCGACCUGAGAGGGUGAUCGGCCACACUGGGACUGAGACACGGCCCAGACUCCUACGGGAGGCAGCAGUAGGGAAUCUUCGGCAAUGGGGGCAACCCUGACCGAGCAACGCCGCGUGAGUGAAGAAGGUUUUCGGAUCGUAAAGCUCUGUUGUAAGAGAAGAACGAGUGUGAGAGUGGAAAGUUCACACUGUGACGGUAACUUACCAGAAAGGGACGGCUAACUACGUGCCAGCAG
rnacentral:rRNA from 1 species